rnacentral:tRNA from 1 species
GCCUCGUUAGCUCAGUUGGUAGAGCGGCUCCCUCUUAAGGAGAUGGUCGCAGGUUCAAAUCCUGCACGGGGCA